rnacentral:tRNA from 1 species
AGAAAUUUAGACUAAUAUUAAGCCAAGAGCCUUCAAAGCUCAAAAUAUGGACCACACCCAUAAUUUCU